AAUAAGAACCUUGGGCAUGUUACUCUACUGUUUCCAAUUUCUAGAAAAAUUCUUGGUCCUGAUCCCUAUGAAAUGUAAAAAUAGGGGGAAUUAUCUGUAACACCCCACGCCCCAUAUUGAAAAAGGGACUUUUGAUCUGAUAAGUAUAUAAGUGCCUUAGUGAACUACUACUAACACCUAAGGGUUGACUUCUGGGUUAUGUGGUUUGGCCCAGCCCAAACCCAAUCGUUUGGCUUGUAGUCCACGCAGACUAGGGUCAUGAUAUUAUCCAAUGGCUGUACAGUGUAGACUGAAUUAAAUAUGCAAGCGUCACUUUUUAAACAUUGCAUUGCCACAGAAGAAAUAAUCUAGAG
rnacentral:misc_RNA from 1 species